rnacentral:rRNA from 1 species
CCUACGGGGGGCAGCAGUAGGGAAUCUUCCACAAUGGGCGAAAGCCUGAUGGAGCAACGCCGCGUGGGUGAAGAAGGUCUUCGGAUCGUAAAACCCUGUUGUUAGAGAAGAAAGUGCGUGAGAGUAACUGUUCACGUUUCGACGGUAUCUAACCAGAAAGCCACGGCUAACUACGUGCCAGCAGCCGCGGUAAUACGUAGGUGGCAAGCGUUAUCCGGAUUGAUUGGGCGUAAAGGGAACGCAGGCGGUCUUUUACGUCUGAUGUGAAAGCCUUCGGCUUAACCGGAGUAGUGCAUUGGAAACUGGGAGACUUGAGUGCAGAAGAGGAGAGUGGAACUCCAUGUGUAGCGGUGAAAUGCGUAGAUAUAUGGAAGAACACCAGUGGCGAAAGCGGCUCUCUGGUCUGUAACUGACGCUGAGGUUCGAAAGCGUGGGUAGCAAACAGGAUUAGAUACCCUGGUAGUC